AGUGAACGCUGGCGGUAGGCCUAACACAUGCAAGUCGAACGGCAGCACAGUAAGAGCUUGCUCUUACGGGUGGCGAGUGGCGGACGGGUGAGGAAUACAUCGGAAUCUACUUUUUCGUGGGGGAUAACGUAGGGAAACUUACGCUAAUACCGCAUACGACCUACGGGUGAAAGCAGGGGAUCUUCGGACCUUGCGCGAUUGAAUGAGCCGAUGUCGGAUUAGCUAGUUGGCGGGGUAAAGGCCCACCAAGGCGACGAUCCGUAGCUGGUCUGAGAGGAUGAUCCGCCACACUGGAACUGAGACACGGUCCAGACUCCCACGGGAGGCAGCAGUGGGGAAUAUUUGGCAAUGGGCGGAAGCCUGAUCCAGCCAUACCGGGGGGGUGAAGAAGGCCUUCGGGUUGUAAAACCCUUUUGUUGGGGAAGAAAAGCCGCCGGUUUAAACCCCGCCGUUCUGACGGUACCCAAAGAAAAAGCCACGGCUAACUUCGUG
rnacentral:rRNA from 1 species